rnacentral:rRNA from 1 species
AGAGUUUGAUCCUGGCUCAGAACGAACGCUGGCGGCGUGGAUAAGACAUGCAAGUCGAACGAGAUUACUUCUGGUAGCAAUACCGAGAGUAAUUUAGUGGCGAACGGGUGCGUAACACGUGGGCAAUCUGCCUUAAAGUGGGGGAUAGCUCGGCGAAAGCCGAAUUAAUACCGCAUGUGGUCAGGGAAGACAUCUUUCCGAAACCAAAGCCGGGGCAACCUGGCGCUUUUUGAGGAGCCCGCGGCCUAUCAGCUAGUUGGCGGGGUAACGGCUCACCAAGGCUAUGACGGGUAGCUGGUCUGAGAGGACGACCAGUCACACUGGAACUGAGACACGGUCCAGACACCUACGGGUGGCAGCAGUCGAGAAUUUUUCUCAAUGGGGGAAACCCUGAAGGAGCGACGCCGCGUGGAGGAUGAAGGCUUUCGGGUUGUAAACUCCUGUCAUUUGGGAACAAGGCGGACGUGUUAACUGCACGUCCGUUGAUAGUACCAGAAGAGGAAGAGACGGCUAACUCUGUGCCAGCAGCCGCGGUAAUACAGAGGUCUCAAGCGUUGUUCGGAUUCAUUGGGCGUAAAGGGUGCGUAGGUGGCGCCGUAAGUCGGGUGUGAAAUUUCGGAGCUUAACUCCGAAACUGCAUUCGAUACUGCGGUGCUUGAGGACUGGAGAGGAGACUGGAAUUCAUGGUGUAGCAGUGAAAUGCGUAGAGAUCAUGAGGAAGACCAGUGGCGAAGGCGGGUCUCUGGACAGUUCCUGACACUGAGGCACGAAGGCCAGGGGAGCAAACGGGAUUAGAUACCCUAGUAGUCC